rnacentral:lncRNA from 1 species
UCAUCUUCAAUUCAGCCUAAAAAGAGCACAGUAGAGCGUAACUUCAAUUGUAAAAUAGAGCACAGUGAAAGCCUUUACUGAAUCUCUUCCGAACCCAUCUCAACAACUGUCCUAAGGCACAACCAAUGACAAACAAAGGCAAGCAUGCCCUAGGAGUCACACAUCCUAGUUUGUGAUGACGCAUAACUCUCUACUGACUCCCUUUGACUUUAUAAUCCUAGUUCGUGAUGUCCUAAAGCCUUUGAUCUCAUAAUUCCAAACAAAAAGAAACCAAAAUUUCAAAUCUCUGGUCUCCAAUUACC